GAUCUUUCCUAUCGUUCAACUCUUUGGAAAGAAGCAAGAAAAGGAAAAAACAAUGAUUAUUUUGAUGAUGCUACUCGAGAUUGUGUCUCUCGAAUCGAUGCAUUAGCUGAAACACAUAGAGAUGAGGACAUAUUGACUGAGUCAUUGGGCUCUAAGGAGCAUGGUGGACGUGUACGUGGCAUGGGUGGUUUUGUCUCUCAAUCACUAUAUUUCAAGACAGUGAAAGGGAAAGAGAAAAUUGCAAGUUCUCAAGUUGUAGAAGAUGACUCAAAAAGCAAAAGUUACAAAAAGGGUCAUAAUCACUUGAGAUCGUCCAUCAGAAGUGUUAACAUAGAUCUCUAUGCCGAUGAGGAUUUGGGCAACACACCUAUGAACGAAGAAGUGAAGGAGGAGAUUGUAGUUUACCUAUUCCAGUGAAGGGCAAGAUAGAGACUUUAAAUCAAGCAUUAGAUAUCUUUGGGAUGAAUGUGAUUGUGGAAGCAAGUUUUUUGUUAUGACCAAGCAAAAAUAACAUCACAUAUCAAGGAUCGUGAUCUCCGAUCCAGAAAUUUUGCCAACCAGUUAGAAGCGGCUACCUUGGAACAAAUAGUUCUAAUUCCGUAUAAUACUGGGUAAAUAAAUAAGAUUAACACAUUAUUAUGUUUUUCAUUGAGGUUAAAUGUAUACUCACAUUGAAGAUGUUUAUUGUAGUUUUCAUUGGAUGUUGCAUGUCAUCGAUCUUCGAGAGAACUGUGUUUAUGUUUUGGACUCUCUUCGAAGUAAAGUUAACGAAGACAUCCAUGGAGUCAUAAAUGUGACUUAUGAUUUACUUCUUAUUUGACUUCAUUGUCUUCUAAUUCUAAUGUUUCCAAAUGUAUAGAGGAUUAAAAACAUGGCAAGCUAAGCAUGAUUUACAACAUUAUCGGUCAAAUCCGAAAUGGAAACCUAUAAAGGUAAUUUGCAUUGACACAUAAUUAUUUUCAAUGAAACAUAAGAAUAAUUUGUAUGUAAUUUAUAUACAUGCAGUGUCCUCGUCAAUUGGAUUCGGUUGGGUGUGGGUAUUAUGUCCAAAAGUAUAUACAUGAAAUCGUGCAUAU